CCACAGGAUAGUCAGGUGUGCGGCUGUUUUCCCGCUCUCUUUCCUUCUCUUUGUCGUCCCUGAUUGGCCUCCAUGAGCCAUCAGUCAAAUACUCGAUCUCCUCCACAUCCUCCGGCGUCUCUUUAAGGAUCUCAGACAGCAACCUGAAAUGAGUCACAUUUGGUUUCAAGUGUAACCACUGAUCAUGUAAUGUUUGGUCAAGAUGAGAAACUCACUGCGUUCGCGACAACGAUCGGCGCUCUCGACUGAGCAAUGCUUCAGCUGGUUGAAGAGCUCUCCAGAUGUGAACACCCUCACCAGGUACACAGCCACCGAGUACCGCUGCAUCCAAAACACAGUGCAGGGGGAUCCUAAACCAACAAAACCACUGGACAAUGAAACAAAGAGGACCUUGGCAAGCACCAUGAUCUCCCCUCUACCUCCCUAUCCUCAUCUAUCUCCAGUGGUUUCCAUGGCGACAACGCUUGGUCCUGCUCGCCUGUGAUCCUUUUUGACCCCUGAGGGUAACCUUUGGUCUAACGGGUCAUGGCCAGGGUCAAGAGGUCAGGAGUGGCCAGAGGGCGAUGAAAGCACUUCUGUGAUUGGCUCUCUUACCAGCUCACAUAUUUUCAUUUGUGUGCCUUGUCCUUCAGUGAGCCUAACUAAAAGACUGUACUUUCUCUAUUUCCAACAAAUACACACAGCCAUGAUCUCGAUC